rnacentral:rRNA from 1 species
GAUGAACGCUGGCGGCGUGCCUAAUACAUGCAAGUCGAGCGGACAGACGAGGAGCUUUCUCCUCUGACGUUAGCGGCGGACGGGUGAGUAACACGUGGAUAACCUACCUAUAAGACUGGGAUAACUUCGGGAAACCGGAUCUAAUACCGGAUAACAUGUUGAACCGCAUGGUUUAACAGUGAAAGACGGUCUUGCUGUCACUUAUAGAUGGAUCCGCGCCGCAUUAGCUAGUUGGUAAGGUAACGGCUUACCAAUGCAACGAUGCGUAGCGGACCUGAGAGGGUGAUCGGCCAGACGGGAAGUGAGACAGGUCCCAGAGUCCGACGCGAGGCAGCAGUAGGGAAUCUUACGCAAGGGGGGAAUGCCUGACGGAGCAACGCCGCGUGAGUGAAGAAGGUCUUCGGAUCGGAAAACUCUGUUAGUAGGGAAGAACAAAUGUGUAAGUAACUAUGCACGUCUUGACGGUACCUAAUCAGAAAGCCACGGCUAACUACGUG